rnacentral:rRNA from 1 species
UACGAGGGGGGCAAAUGUUGUUCGGAAUCACUGGGCGUAAAGGGUGCGUAGGCGGCGCGGAAAGUCAGGGGUGAAAUCCCGGAGCUCAACUCCGGAACUGCCUUUGAUACUCCCGCGCUUGAGAACUGGAGGGGACAUCGGAAUUCACGGUGGAGCAGUGAAAUGCGUGGAUAUCGUGAGGAACACUAGUGGCGAAGGCGGAUGUCUGGACAGUAUCUGACGCUGAGGCACGAAGGCCAGGGGAGCGAACGGG